rnacentral:siRNA from 1 species
CACAGUGAUGUUUGCCCCGCC